UUAAAUCAGUUAUCGUUUAUUUGAUAGUACCUUACUACAUGGAUAACCGUGGUAAUUCUAGAGCUAAUACAUGCUAAAAACCCCGACUUCGGAAGGGGUGUAUUUAUUAGAUAAAAAACCAAUGCCCUUCGGGGCUCCUUGGUGAAUCAUAAUAACUUAACGGAUCGCAUGGCCUUGCGCCGGCGACGGUUCAUUCAAAUUUCUGCCCUAUCAACUUUCGAUGGUAAGGUAUUGGCUUACCAUGGUUUCAACGGGUAACGGGGAAUUAGGGUUCGAUUCCGGAGAGGGAGCCUGAGAAACGGCUACCACAUCCAAGGAAGGCAGCAGGCGCGCAAAUUACCCAAUCCCGACACGGGGAGGUAGUGACAAUAAAUACUGAUACAGGGCUCUUUUGGGUCUUGUAAUCGGAAUGAGUACAAUUUAAACCCCUUAACGAGGAACAAUUGGAGGGCAAGUCUGGUGCCAGCAGUCGCGGUAAUUCCAGCUCCAAUAGCGUAUAUUAAAGUUGUUGCAGUUAAAAAGCUCG
rnacentral:rRNA from 1 species